GGGAAUCUGGUCUAGUGGUAAGACCCUUCACUCUAGACCAUGAGGUACUGGGUUCAAAUCUCAAGUCCCCA